UCCCUCCGAAGUUUCCCUCAGGAUAGCUAGAUCCCAUUACUAGUUCUAUCAGGUAAAGCCAAUGAUUAGAGGCAUUGGGGACGCAACGUCGUCGACCUAUUCUGAAACUUUGAGUAGGUAGGAUGGCUCGGCUGCUUCGGUGAGCCAUGCCACGGAAUCGGGUGCUCCAAGUGGGCCAUUUUUGGUAAGAAGAACUGGCGAUGCGGGAUGAACCGGAAGCCGGGUUACGGUGCCCAAAUGCGCGCUAACCUAGAACCCACAAAGGGUGUUGGUCGAUUAAGACAGCAGGACGGUGGUCAUGGAAGUCAAAAUCCGCUAAGGAGUGUGUAACAACUCACCUGCCGAAUCAACUAGCCCCGAAAAUGGAUGGCGCUGAAGCGCGUGACCCACACCCGGCCAUCUGGGCGAGCGCCAUGCCCCGGUGAGUAGGAGGGCGCGGCGGCCGCUGCAAAACCCGGGGUGCGAGCCCGGGCGGAGCGGCCGUCGGUG
rnacentral:rRNA from 16 species